rnacentral:rRNA from 1 species
UACGUAGGGGGCGAGCGUUGUCCGGAUUUAUUGGGCGUAAAGAGCGUGUAGGCGGUUCGGUAAGUCUGUCGUGAAAUCCUGAGGCUCAACCUCGGGCGUGCGAUGGAUACUGCCGGGCUAGAGGGUGGUAGAGGCGAGUGGAAUUCCCGGUGUAGCGGUGAAAUGCGCAGAUAUCGGGAGGAACACCAGUAGCGAAGGCGGCUCGCUGGGCCACACCUGACGCUGAGACGCGAAAGCUAGGGGAGCGAACGAGG